rnacentral:rRNA from 1 species
CCUACGGGUGGCAGCAGUCGAGAAUCAUUCACAAUGGGGGAAACCCUGAUGGGGCGACGCCGCGUGGGGGAAUGAAGGCCUUCGGAUUGUAAACCCCUGUCAUGUGGGAGCAAAUUAAAAAGAUAGUACCACAAGAGGAAGAGACGGCUAACUCUGUGCCAGCAGCCGCGGUAAUACAGAGGUCUCAAGCGGUGUUCGGAAUAACUGGGCGUAAAGCGUGCGUAGGCUGUUUCGUAAGUCGUGUGUGAAAGGCGCGGGCUCAACCCGCGGACGGCACAUGAUACUGCGAGACUAGAGUAAUGGAGGGGGAGCCGGAAUUCUCGGUGUAGCAGUGAAAUGCGUAGAUAUCGAGAGGAACACUCGUGGCGAAGGCGGGUUCCUGGACAUUAACUGACGCUGAGGCACGAAGGCCAGGGGAGCGAAAAGGAUUAGAUACCCGAGUAGUC